ensembl:piRNA 21ur-828 ncRNA
UGAUCUUUACGGGCUUACGAA